AAGGUGCCGGAUACAUUCCAUAAGGACUCGGCGAUCCUGGCAGACGUUAGCAUAAGCAUCAAAGACCAGGAAACUGGCAAGCACAUGAAAUUAUCAGNNNNNNUGCAGUUCAACAAUCGCGCCUUGACAUGGGGAUGGGAGAAGUUCAUAUCGCUGGAAGACUUCAAGGACUCCUCAAAAGGUUAUCUCGUGAAGACAAAGUGCUGCAUUGAAGCUCAGGUUGCAGUCAUUGGUUCCUCCAAGACGGAGUAG
rnacentral:rRNA from 1 species